rnacentral:rRNA from 1 species
UUGGUUAGUCAGCACGAGCGCACCCUGUGAACUGUUGCCAGCACGUAAAGGUGGGGACUCUGUUCAGACCGCCGGUAUCAAACCGGAGGAAGGUGGGGACGACGUCAAGUCAGUAUGGCCCUUACGCCUGGGGCUGCACACGUACUACAAUGCCCAGUACAAUGAGAACCGAGACCGCGAGGUGGAGGAAAUCUGCAAAACUGGGCCCAGUUCGGAUUGGAGGCUGCAACUCGCCUCCAUGAAGCCGGAAUCGCUAGUAAUGGCUCAUCAGCAACGGAGCCGUGAAUACGUUCCCGGGUCUUGUACACACCGCCCGUCACAUCAUGGAAGCCGGUCGCAGGCGAAGCGCAUGCGCUAACCUUCGGGAAGCAGUGCUCUAACUUGUAGCUGGUAACUGGGAUGAAGUCGUAACAAGGUAGCCGUAGGGGAACCUGCGGCUGGAUCACCUCCUUUCU